UCUGUCGAGAGUUGUCACGGCAACUUUGGACAGAGAAUGAGCUACAGGGUCGGAGCUUAGGUGGCAACCCAAGCAACCGGUACGCAAAAGCGGGUGUGGCACCAAAGCCUGGACUCACCCCCAAGAAAGUGCAAGCCCUUGCGAAUGGCUAUCAGAAGUAUGUCGAAAGCCGGCCAUCAGAAACCCCUACCCCCAAAAGGCUCAGUGCAUUCGCAACUCAUAUGAGGAGCUUUUUGAAUGAUUUAAAUAAAUAAUGAUGAACAUA